UAGGGAAUCUUCCACAAUGGGCGCAAGCCUGAUGGAGCAACACCGCGUGAGUGAAGAAGGGUUUCGGCUCGUAAAGCUCUGUUGUUAAAGAAGAACACGUAUGAGAGUAACUGUUCAGGUAUUGACGGUAUUUAACCAGAAAGCCACGGCUAACUACGUGCCGG
rnacentral:rRNA from 1 species